UAAGAGUAAAUUCUGGUUUUUACCCUCUAUUCUGACAUUUUUGACACUAAUUACCCUAUUUAGCGAGAUUUUGUCCGUUUUACCCCAUUUAGCAAAAGUUCUGCCAGAAUUUACCCUGUUUAGCGAGAUUUUGUGUUCUGACCGACAAGUUUCAAUUGUCUGGUCCAGCUGGCAUGCCACAUCAAUGGUUUUUUAUUGCCUAUUUUUCUCCCUGCCGAACCAGUCCUCGUAGCUUCUACCGACCAGGACAGCCUGAUGGUGAUCACUCGCAUCGCGUCCAACGCACAACGUGCGAGUCGGCCGAGCGGCGAGCGCCAUGCUCGCCUCUACUCGGUUCUCGCUUGCGUUGCUCGCCCCCAAUCGUUGCUCAGGAUUGUCAAGCAGUGGCGACGAUGACGGCGACGGUGGCGGGUGCUGAGGUCCUGGCCAUGCGCUUUCAUACCUCCUCGGGCCGGGCUGUAUGGCCACAACAUCAUGGCAAGAAAUGACCUCGUGGAAUCCGAUGGUCCCGUCAAGUUCGCUGACGUCGGCGUAGUCCUCUGAAUUUGAUAUACUUAAAAAACUAAUCAUGUAUGUGACCGCAUCAGGUUGUGCUUAGUUCUUCUUCCUACUUUGGCGACAUAGCAGGGACCCUAUUAGUCUGUGCUCAGUUGAUGGCGGUUCUAUGGCGACGUCUGGUCCAACAAAUCAGCGAGGCGUUUAAUUCGGACAAAAUUAAGAUGCUUAUUAGAAGAUCAUGUCUAUAUAUAUCACCCUUCUGUAAUUGAGCUCCUGGAAGUGAUGGAGGACAAGAUGAUGUUAGCAUCCUAGAUGGAGAGCUUUGCAAGGUGUAGGAGCUAAGAAAGGUGAAGACUGACAAGGUGUAUGUGCCACUGCUACUGUUUGGUGUAUUCUGA